rnacentral:snRNA from 1 species
GUGCUCGCUUUGGCAGCACAUAUACUAAAAUUGGAAUGAUACAAAGAUUAGCAUGGCCCCUGUGCAAGGAUGACAUGCAAAUUCGUGAAGCGUUCCAUAUUUAA